AAGGUACUCUCUCCGUCCGGAAUUACUUGUCAUCAAAAUGGAUGAAAAUGGAUGUAUCUAGAACUAAAAUACAUCUAGAUACAUCCAUUUCAAUGACAAGUAUUUCCGGACGGAGGGAGUACUUG
rnacentral:pre_miRNA from 1 species